GCGGCAUUAGCUCAGUUGGGAGAGCGUGAGAUUGAAGUUAUUCAAUAUCAUUCCGAUCAGCACGGGGUUCGACCCCGGCGCGACGCGGAUCCUCAAGGUCCUUGGUUCGAACCCGAGAUGGCGCA
rnacentral:tRNA from 1 species